UCUAGGUAUACAGGAGUCGAGCACAUAGUCCAUCACAUACAACGACAAAAUCGGGCUAAGUCUGGAUCCCAUAAUGCACCCAAACAUCUGCAAAUAGAAACUGCCAUCGAACAUGAAGUAACCUGAUUCUAGGAGGAAGGUGAUAAUCUCCUUGAAGUAUUCUUUUGAUAUGUUGCAGACUGCCUCAAUCUUGUUCCAAUGGAAUUCCAUUGCUCUCAGUACCAACUCCUUUGAUAUGUUGCCAAAUAGGUUGACUACGUCAAGUGAUAUCACCACAUAAUCUGGGGGUAAUUCAAAAUUGUUAAUCUUACUGGAAAAGUCAAACGAAUCUUUUACAUAAUAUGUAUUAUCCUGGUCAUAGGCUUCUGUUAGGAUUUGUGCAAUAUAAUUUGAAAAUUUACAUGUGGGACCCUGUACAUCAGAUACGAUUGGUCGCAUUGGGAUAUUUUCUUUAUGUAUUUUGGGAUUUCCGUACAUUCUAGGGCUCACUGAAUUAUAUGAUUUCAUUGAUCUUGCAGCUUCUUUACUUAGUAUAUUUUGGUUUACAAGUGUGGAUAUGAUCUUGUUGGUUUUAUUCUGGAUAGUGGUCGUUGGGUCUCUAGAAAUCUUUUUGAAAUCGUCAGUGUCAACAAUUGAGUACAUCUUCUGAAGAUAAUCCGCCCUAUCCAUAAGUACAGUCACUGAACCUUUGUCACUGUCGAGAACUACAAGGUGAUCAUUAGUUCUCAAAAAGUUUUUCGUUGUUUUAUAUAGCUUUCUUAUGUUGUCUGUCGCACAAAUAUUAUUUUUACCUUUAUGUAGAUGACCGGUUAUAAUGCUUGCUAUGAUAUUGCGUUUCUUAAUUGAUAAUCAUUUGAUAUUACCCUGUUUGAUGCUUGUGUCUGAUUUUGUACAUUUCUUAGACUUAGAGAUUAACCUCGCAUUCAUUGCCCUGAGGAAGAAGCAAAAUAAGCUUCGAAAGCUAGGCUUUACAUGAAUAAAGAGUAAAUAUAUCUCGUUAAUUGCUGA